AUGGCUGCGAUUCGUUUUCCGUGCUACAAACCAAUUUGGAAGUCAAAGGCACCGCCUCGCUGUCGGUUCUUCAUGUGGCUCGUUGUGCAUAGGCGCUGCCUCAUGGCAGACAAUCUGGCGGAACCGGAGGACUGCACACAUCUUUUUGUGCAUUGCAGAUAUACGCAGCACCUAUGGAGCAUCUUCAGGCAAUGGACGGGAGAGCACUUCUCCAUUCCUGAUGACACUUGCAGUACCACGGAGGAGUGGUGGCUGUCGGCAAGAAAAAGAAUCCCCAAGAAGGACAGGCGCAAUUUCGACACCAUUGCUAUCCUGGUACAUUGGAGGAUCUGGAAGGAGCGGAAUGCAAGGAUUUUUCAGCACAUUGCCAGCAGCGCCAACAGAGUCCUUGAUCUGAUCCAUGAGGAUAUUGCUGUGUGGAGAGCAGCUGGUUGUGUCGUAGAGCUCUCUGCUUGA
rnacentral:rRNA from 1 species